rnacentral:rRNA from 1 species
CAGCCGCCGCGGUAAUACCGGCGGCCCGAGUGGCGGUCACUAUUAUUGGUCUUAAAGCGUCCGUAGCCGGGUUGGGAAGGCCUCCGGGAAAUCUGGCCGCUUAACGGUCAGAAUGCCGGAGGAUACUCCCAGCCUAGGGAGCGGGAGAGGCCGAGGGGAUUCCCGGAGUAGGGGGGAAAUCCUAUAAUCCCGGGAGGACCACCUGUGGCGAAGGCGCUCGGCUGGAACGCGUCCGACGGUGAGGGACGAAGGCCAGGGGAGCAAACCGGAUUAGAUACCCGGGUAGUCCUGGCUGUAAACGAUGCGGACUUUGUGUCGGACAAGCUAUGAGCUUGUCCGGUGCCGGAGGGAAACCGUUAAGUCCGCCGCCUGGGGAGUACGGCCGCAAGGCUGAAACUUAAAGGAAUUGGCGGG